CCCACCUGCAGACUCUCCAUCUCCACCUACGAGCCCCAUUCUACAACCUGGAGGCUGCCUCCACCUUCAGACUCUGGCAAACAGCAGUAGCCAUCAGUGUCAGCCAACAACCUGCAGAUAACCACACCUAUCAGCUUCUGUCAAGAACCUACAAGCCACCUCCACCUGGACAAAUUGUCAGAAGUGUAAUGUGGCAAACCAAGACCAUAACUACAGCAGU